AUUGACAUAUCUGUCAAAAUCUAUAAAAUUAAGGGAAUCAAGAAUUUCAUCUGACAUAAGUCUAUCUAUUCUCCAGUUAGUGAAAAUCUAUAUCCGGGAGAUAGUCAGGUUACAUGAAGUCUUGGUGAUAGUGGUAUCCAAUAGAGACCCUAGGUUUACUUCUCAGUUUUGGUCUAGUUUUUAGCAAGUCACGAGAACGAAACUAUCCCUUAUCACCGUAUUCCACCUUCAGAUCGGUGAACAAUCAGAGAGAAUGAUUCGUAUAC
rnacentral:lncRNA from 1 species